GAGGUUGUUGAUCAGUGGUAGAGCACUUGCCUCACACGUGUGUGGCACUGAGAUCAAUCCUCAGCACCACA
rnacentral:tRNA from 1 species